GAGUGCGUGAAAUGCUCAUUUGGUUAUUCUGGUUUUAACUGCUCAGAAAACUGGCAGCUCAUUCUGGUAAUUGUGGGCUCUGUGCUUGGAGGACUGCUGCUCAUAGCCCUCAUCCUU